AUUGUGGGUGAGCCCAGGAUAGGGCAACUGCUCUACACACAGCCCUUGAAUGGAUGGUUAAAAACCUGGAAACUGAGGAGCAAUGUAUCUCUCACUUUGUACCCAUUCUGCUAGAACAACUACAAAUGUGUACAUCCUUUUACUUCUUCUGGGACUGUGCUCGGUUCCUUGGUGCACAAACCACUACAGAAAGGGAAUGAGCCAAGCACACAAAUCAACUGUUUUCUAGAUGAAUGACCACUGAGCUUGACAAUUUAAAGAGGUUGUUUUGACAGGCCCUCGGGAAAGAAGACUGCCAAGGGUGUGGCUAUAAGGAUAUGCCUGCCAAACCUGAAACAUGGAAGUUCAGCCACCUACAGGUUGAAGAAUGCUUAGUUUCCAGGAAACAUCUCUACUAUUACUUUAUAACUGCAAAAGGAGAAAUCUUGUCUUACUUUCUUCUAUCAGAACCGGUUCAUACACACACAAAAAAGGAAUUUUACUGUAACAUUUCAGAAGUUGUUAGAGAAGGUUGGUCUUCCAUUUUCUAAUCUAAUUCUACAUAUAGACUGGUUUUGUUAUAAGUGUUUACUCCUAAAAAUCUGUCAUUCGACUUCAGUAGAUUCUUUGUAUAGACAGCUUAUUACAAUAGUACUCAUGUCGUUCUUGUAACAUGACUAUGGCCACACACCCUGUACAAAACACUGUGGUACUAUUUUUAUAGGCUCUUUCUUCUUCGCAGCCAAAAACAUUGGCCCUGGUUUGCACUGAUAGUUGUGUAGGGCAGAGAGAAAAAAAACCUCUGCCAAGAAUCUGCCUGUUUUAGCUCCAAAUUUAUUUUAAUGCCUUGUAAAGCCAAGGAUCAUUUGAAGACUAUCUCCAAACUCCCAGGAGAAAGAAAAGUGCCUGGGGACUUGUAAAUAUGGCGUAGUAAAAUAGAUAGGAUUUUGUUUUACACUUUGUAAACAUGUGUACAUUGUACUUGGUUUGCAAACGUGCACUGAAUUCUCCUCUUUCCCUCUUUUUCUUUCUAACAUUGGUGAUGUGUUCAACUUGAAUAUGGCUAAGCUGUCAGAAGAUUUUUCUACAUGUGCUGAAGUGAUUCCCAACAUCUGUCUUAAAUCUCGUAAUACGCAACACUGUGAGAAAAAAUUAAUUCAAGAACAUUCUGAUGAUAACAAGGAUAUAGCUUCAUAACAAUAACAAAAAAAAGCCACUGGAGAAAGUGCAGGCGGCUGUAACCUCAGGGCUCAUGUCAUGUUACUGUGGCCAUAAAACAAAAAUCAUUUUGUUCCCAAUACUUCUCUGUGUAAUAAUGUUGUUGCAGACAGAUUCCUCCUACUUAAAAUGAGA